GGACCCGUAGCUCAGUUGGCUAGAGCGCUAUCUUGACGUGAUAGAAGUCUGCAGUUCGAGUCUGCACGGGUCCA
rnacentral:tRNA from 1 species